UUGGCGCACCAAAGAAAGCGAGGCAGUAGUUCUUCCAUGGAGCACUUCUUCCAUGCCGUUAUCUAGAUAUGUACAUACGGUAUCUUCUAUAUUCUGCUUGCUUAUCAAGCGAAGUCUACGCUGGAAGGGUAUCAUGCUGACCAUUUAAUUGAAUUUCUCUUACAGAAACCAAUAUUAAUUUAUUCAGAGAACAUCCUUAUUUUUAUUUGUGAGAUAAUUAAAAAAGAUGUUUAUCUUUCCGAGCGACAUCGGACAUCCUAUAAUUUUGAGCACCGCCUCGAAGCAACCAGAAAUAGUUUCUGGUAGACUUUGGUCAAUGUAUCCUGGCCUGCAUGCUUUGGUUGUUACGAAAACAGCCACCUUUUGUUUCGCAUCAAUGAGACCAAUAUCUUUCCCCUUUCGGAGAACUCCGAGCAAGCUAUAUAUAAACUUUAGUCUUCCCCUGCUGCUUCUAUGGUGAAAAGUACUGUGUAAUGUAGUCUAUCAUCUUUAGAUUAUAUUGUUCUCUUUGUAGUGAAAAGCGGUUUAUCACCGCUUAUUGUAUAUAUAUGUGAAGAACUCUUCUGCUACUGUUUCCUGAAAACUAUGACUCAAGAAACAAGCUUCCUUUUAUGCAUGCUUUUGCUUCAA